rnacentral:rRNA from 1 species
GGUUAAGCGACUAAGCGUACACGGUGGAUGCCCUGGCAGUCAGAGGCGAUGAAGGACGUGCUAAUCUGCGAUAAGCGUCGGUAAGGUGAUAUGAACCGUUAUAACCGGCGAUUUCCGAAUGGGGAAACCCAGUGUGAUUCGUCACACUAUCAUUAACUGAAUCCAUAGGUUAAUGAGGCGAACCGGGGGAACUGAAACAUCUAAGUACCCCGAGGAAAAGAAAUCAACCGAGAUUCCCCCAGUAGCGG